rnacentral:rRNA from 1 species
CCUACGGGUGACAGCAGUGGGGAAUAUUGCACAAUGGGCGAAACCCUGAUCCAGCGACGCCGCGUGAGUGAAGAAGGAAUUCGUGAUGUAAAGCUCUAUCAGCAGGGAAGAAAAUGACGGUACCUGAGUAAGAAGCCCCGGCUAACUACGUUCCAGCAGCCGCGGCAAUACGGCGGGGGCAAGCGUUAUCCGGAUUUACUGGGUGUAAGGGGAGCGUAGACGGCAGUGCAAGUCUGGAGUGAAAGGCGGGGGCUCAACCCCCGGACUGCACUGGAAACUGUACGGCUUGAGUGCAGGAGAGGUAAGUGGAAUUCCUAGUGUAGCGGUGAAAUGCGUAGAUAUUAGGAGGAACACCAGUGGCGAAGGCGGCUUACUGGACUGUAACUGACGCUGAGGCUCGAAAGCGUGGGGAGCAAACAGGAUUAGAUACCCGAGUAGUC